GGAUGCGAUCAUACCAGCACUAACGCACCGGAUCCCAUCAGAACU
rnacentral:rRNA from 1 species